CCCUGGAUGGCGGAAUUGGUAGACGCAAACGACUCAAACUCGUUCGGAGAAAUCCAUAUCGGUUCAAGUCCGAUUCUAGGGACCA
rnacentral:tRNA from 2 species